UACGGAGGGUGCGAGCGUUGUCCGGAUUUAUUGGGCGUAAAGAGCUCGUAGGCGGCUUGUCGCGUCGAAUGUGAAAUCCCGUGGCUCAACUGCGGGUCUGCAUUCGAUACGGGCAGGCUAGAGUUCGGUAGGGGAGACUGGAAUUCCAGGUGUAGCGGUGAAAUGCGUAGAUAUCUGGAGGAACACCGGUGGCGAAGGCGACAUCCUGGACCGGUAUUGACGCUGAGGCGCGAAAGCCAGGGGAGCAAACGGG
rnacentral:rRNA from 1 species